rnacentral:tRNA from 2 species
AUUUAAGUAGUUUAUUUAAAAUAUUGAUUUGUGAUAUCAAAGAUAUAAUUUUUUAUCUUAAAUA